AGACCGAUAGCGAACAAGUAGAGUGAUCGAAAGAUGAAAAGCACUUUGGAAAGAGAGUUAAAAAGCACGUGAAAUUGUUGAAAGGGAAGCGCUUGCAGCCAGACUUGCCUGUAGUUGCUCAUCUAGGUUUCUACCUAGUGCACUCUUCCAUAGGCAGGCCAGCAUCAGUUUGGGCGGUUGGAUAAAGGUCUCYGUCAUGUACCUCUCUUCGGGGAGAACUUAUAGGGGAGACGACAUGCAACCAGCCUGGGACUGAGGUCCGCGCAUCUGCUAGGAUGCUGGCGUAAUGGCUGUGAGCGGCCCGUCUUGAGACACGGACCAAG
rnacentral:rRNA from 1 species